rnacentral:rRNA from 1 species
UACAGAGGUCUCAAGCGUUGUUCGGAUUCAUUGGGCGUAAAGGGCUCGUAGGCGGCCAACUAAGUCAGACGUGAAAUCCCUCGGCUUAACCGGGGAACUGCGUCUGAUACUGGUUGGCUUGAAUCCGGGAGAGGGAUGUGGAAUUCCAGGUGUAGCGGUGAAAUGCGUAGAUAUCUGGAGGAACACCGGUGGCGAAGGCGGCAUCCUGGACCGGCAUUGACGCUAAAGCGCGAAAGCCAGGGGAGCAAACGGG